GAUGAACGCUGGCGGCGUGCCUAAUACAUGCAAGUCGAGCGAACAGACGAGGAGCUUGCUCCUCUGACGUUAGCGGCGGACGGGUGAGUAACACGUGUAUAACCUACCUAUAAGACUGGUAUAACUUCGGGAAACCGGAGCUAAUACCGGAUAAUAUAUUGAACCGCAUGGUUCAAUAGUGAAAGACGGUUUUGCUGUCACUUAUAGAUGGAUCCGCGCCGCAUUAGCUAGUUGGUAAGGUAACAGCUUACCAAGGCAACGAUGCGUAGCCGACCUGAGAGGGUGAUCGGCCACACUGGAACUGAGACACGGACCAGACUCCUACGGGAGGCAGCAGUAGGGAAUCUUCCGCAAUGGGCGAAAGCCUGACGGAGCAACGCCGCGUGAGUGAUGACGGUCUUCGGAUCGUAAAACUCUGUUAUUAGGGAAGAACAAAUGUGUAAGUAACUAUGCACGUCUUGACGGUACCUAAUCAGAAAGCCCCGGCUAACUACGUG
rnacentral:rRNA from 1 species